rnacentral:rRNA from 1 species
CCAGAGAACUUAGCAGAGAUGCUUUGGUUCCUUCGGGAACUCUGAGACAGGUGCUGCAUGGCUGUCGUCAGCUCGUGUUGUGAAAUGUUGGGUUAAGUCCCGCAACGAGCGCAACCCUUAUCCUUUGUUGCCAGCGGUCCGGCCGGGAACUCAAAGGAGACUGCCAGUGAUAAACUGGAGGAAGGUGGGGAUGACGUCAAGUCAUCAUGGCCCUUACGAGUAGGGCUACACACGUGCUACAAUGGCGCAUACAAAGAGAAGCGACCUCGCGAGAGCAAGCGGACCUCAUAAAGUGCGUCGUAGUCCGGAUUGGAGUCUGCAACUCGACUCCAUGAAGUCGGAAUCGCUAGUAAUCGUAGAUCAGAAUGCUACGGUGAAUACGUUCCCGGGCCUUGUACACACCGCCCGUCACACCAUGGGAGUGGGUUGCAAAAGAAGUAGGUAGCUUAACCUUCGGGAGGGCGCUUACCACUUUGUGAUUCAUGACUGGGGUGAAGUCGUAACAAGGUAGGCGUAGCGAG